rnacentral:lncRNA from 1 species
AUGCAGGAGCACCAGAGCAGGAUGCACAGAGCCUGCAGAGCCUGCCUGGGGCUGGAGGGCAGCCUGUGGACACUCUGCAGGUUGCUGAGGGUCUGGGCUGCCAGCUGGGUCCGUGAGGAACAGGGAGAGCAGCAGGGGCUGUCUGGGGCAGGGCUCUGUGCCCCUGCUGCUGGCACCUGCUCGUCUGAGGAAGGAGUUUCUUUCUUUGUCUCCUCCUGGAGGGUGUCCUGGAAGAGCUCUGGGUACUUGGGGUUGACCCAGAUAGUCUGGAUUGUGAUGCGUCUCCAGUUUUCAUGCAGUGAUGUUUUGCUGCUGUCGUUUCUGCUGUCGUUUCCCCCUUGGGGCAGGUUCAGGAUUCCACUGACUUCCCCUUGGGAGAGCUCUUGUUCCAUGUGGUCUUCCCCUGGGCAUGGCUGCAGGGGAUGGAAGACUUCCCUCUUUCCCUCCUCGUUGGCCCAGGCCCCCUCCCUGAGCUCUGGUGCUGCCAGCAGCGCUCGCUGCCUGCUGAGGGUCUGUGCUGCUCCCUGGGCAGAUGAGGGGCCUGGGGCAGAGCAGGGGCUCUGCAGGAGUGGGACAUGGCUCUGUGCCCCUGCUGAGGACACCUGCUCGACCUGGGCUGCUGCCUUUGCUGCCUUUUGUGCCUCAGGAGGAGCUUUUGGGCAGCGCUUCUCGUUCUGUGGCUGCCCAUGGUCCACCUGCGGCUGUUUGAAGUCCAUCUGUGGGACAGAGGAGGCAAGGGGUGGAGUGGGCUGUCUUGGCACAGCUCAAGCCCAGCCUUGUCCCAUCACCAGCCUCUCUUUCCUGCCCAGUCGCUCAUCCUUUGCCUCUUCAGGCUCAGCAGCCCCUGGGUGGGCAGGGAUUUGGGAUUCACCUUCUCCCCCUUGGGUGUCUCUGUCAUGCUUUCCUGCAGAGGCUCUCAGGCAGCUGCUGCCUCCUGAGAAAGGUGCCCUUGGGCAGUGCACACCAGGGCUCUGUGCCCCAAACCUCUCCCAGAGGUCAUGGUGGCCUCUGGGCACAGCACGGCCCCUGUGUCACAAAGGAAUGUGCCUCUGUCACAAAGGGUCGCCCCAGCAGCCACAGCAGCCAGCUGGACAUGGCUGUGCCCAGCCCAGGACACAGGACACAGGACACAGCCUCUGA